rnacentral:rRNA from 1 species
GUAUAGAGGGUGAAUUCUGCCCAAUGGUUGUAUAGUGAAACUGAGGACUAACGUCUAAAGCGAAACCCAACUGAAUGGCCGCGGUAACUCUGACCGUGAUAAUGUAGCACAAUAAAUAGCCAAUUAAUUGUUGGCGGGUAUGAAUGGAACCACGAGGGUCUUACUGUCUCAAGAGAAAAGCCGAUGAAAUUAUAAUUGUAGUGAAGAUACUACAUAAACAUUGUAAGACGAAAAGACCCUAUCGAGCUUUACUGGAUACCGAUAGCGUUAACUUAAAAUGAUCGAUAUUAAUAUCCUAAUUUUGAGUUAAUAAUUUUUGUUGGUAGGACAGUUUAGUUGGGGCGACUACCUUUGAAUAAGAAACGAAGGCGAGCUUAUGGUAUAUAAAAUUAAUCUCAUUAGCCUGACAGUGAGGGGGACACCCCUAGCUGGCACACCUUAGGGAUGUGGGCGAUAAUGACCCGAUAUUAUUGUCCAAAAUAGAUAUCGAAAGCGGAUAAAAGCUACCGUAGGGAUAACAGCGUAAUAUUGUCGGAGAGUUCUUAUCGAGGACAGUGUUUGCGACCUCGAUGUUGAAUUGCGGUGCCCUGGUGCUGUAGAAGGUACCUUAGGUUGGUC